GCCUGCGGGUGCUGAGAAUAUUCGUGGGCCUUCACCUUUCCAGCAAGAACACAGAGGGGCCUCUCUCUGAGGGAAGUUUGGGGACACAGGUAUGGAAACUUCUGGAUGCCCGCCCUUGUGAGUUCACCUCUAUGUCUACUCUACUGAGGCCUCUCCAUACAGAUACAGUGACUUGUGGGAGGCCUGUUACAUCCUCAGGCCACAGCUGGUAAGGGAAGUGCAGGUGACCAUGUGUGGAUCAAGGACUGGAACGUGGCUCCUUUGCGGCCACGGUGGAGGGGGCCCCAGACCGUUAUCCUGACCACUCCCAUAGCUGUAAGGGUGGAAGGAAUCCCAGCCUGGAUUCACCACAGCCGCGUGAAGCCUGCAGCCGCUGAGACCUGGGAGGCCAAACCAAGCCUGGACAGUCCCUGCAAAGUGACCCUGAGGAAGAC